AAGGAUCAUUAUUGAAAGCUUUUCUAGCUUUUACACCCCAUUGUUUACCUCCCAUGUUGCUUUCACUAGACAGGUUCGGCUCGUAAGAGCAGAAUCCCCUGGCUGAUGCAUCUGCAUUGGCUGGGGAGUGCUGGUGAAAUACCUAAAACCUUUUUAAAAACCUCUGUCUGAAAACAUUUUAUAACAUUAAAAACUUUCAACAACGGAUCUCUAGGCUCUU
rnacentral:misc_RNA from 1 species